rnacentral:rRNA from 1 species
CAGAGGUGGCAAGCGUUGUUCGGAAUUACUGGGCGUAAAGGGCGCGUAGGCGGUCUUGUAAGUCUUGUGUGAAAUCCCUCGGCUUAACUGAGGAACUGCACGAGAUACUGCAAGACUUGAGAUCGGGAGAGGGAAGCGGAAUUCCGGGUGUAGCGGUGAAAUGCGUAGAUAUCCGGAGGAACACCGGUGGCGAAGGCGGCUUCCUGGACCGAUACUGACGCUGAGGCGCGAAAGCUAGGGGAGCAAACGGGAUUAGAUACCCCGGUAGUCCUAGCUGUAAACGAUGAGUGCUGGGUGUAGGGGGUAUUAACCCCCCUGUGCCGAAGCUAACGCAUUAAGCACUCCGCCUGGGGAGUACGGUCGCAAGGCUG